AACUAAGAAGAAAAAGGAAGAAGAGACGAAGAAAAGAUGAUUUUGAUGGAAGUUAUCUCUGUCAAACAUAUAUAUACUAAUUUUUUCUUUUUCUUACUGCCAAGUCCGAUCAAGAGUGACAUCGAGUCACAUAACAGGGGAACGAAGAGAGAGGAGCUGAAACUGGAGCCCAUCACAUUUGGACUCGUUGAAGAAAGAGAAAGCUUUCAAGCCGGGCAAUAAGCAUGAGAAGAAGCUAGACACCAUGAGAAAGAAGCAUACAAAGGAGAGACAAACGACGCAGAAGAAUCACUGCAGCGCUAUCGAGAAGCUGACAAAAGGCAAAGACAAGAACGCUCUGUUGCAAGACGCCAACGUGAAGAAAGUUAUAAGCGAGCAAGCAGCACAAUGGUCCGCUAUAAUGGAAAAGCAGUGGAAAGAAGAGUGGGAAUUGCUGACGAAUCAAACGUAGAGCUGGCACGACGAAUUAAAGAGGUUGAUCGAAGUUGUGCAAGCCUCGCAGGUGAAGCAGAUGCAGACGAAACAGGACAAGUUCGUUCGACGCAACUUUAUUCCGACGUAACUUCAUCCAGGCCUCAAGUGAAAUCACGUGAACGUUGCAGGGACAUUAAGGAUAUGAAUACCAAUUAGACGAAAGCGUUCGUGGAAACGGCCAAGGAAAUGAUGAACGACAAGACAUUGAAAACAAAAGGUGACAAAGAUCGACAGCUUCACGACAAGAAGCAGCAGGACACGAAAAAGUUUAUGAGGGGAGGAAGACUGUGCACAGAUCAAACAGAGUCGUGAGAAGGAGAAACUCAAAAUCACGCAUAAGCAGCAAGUCCAGAACUUGAAUACAAAUAUCGACGGGAUGAGUGGAAACGUGCAUUCAACGCUGUGUUCCGACUGAAUACCGCAGCUGGCUAUUACUUUUUCAUAGCACGUAAGCAAAAAUUCCCACAGAACGAGAGAAAAACAAUGUAAGCCACUAUGCGCAACGAGAUAUCUUUAUAACAAAUGGUUAAUAAAAAUCACAAUUGAUAAAUAAUAAAAGAGAAAUAAAACGGAAAUAAAGAUAAUUGGCUGUGCUCAGCAGAGAAAGCUACUUGCAACUGUUGUAAAAUUAGUGAAUCUGGCUGUUUUUAAUUUUAAGUGAAUCUAACAGCAUAUAAUAAAAAAUAAUCAGAUUUUUAAAUUUUACAAUAGUUACAAAACAGUUUUCUUUGUUCAACGCAGCCAAUUAUUCUUGUUAGUAAAAUCCUAUUGAUUUCAUAAAGCAACGCGUCGAUAAUUCGCUUUUCUGUCAUGUUGCAAAGUAUCGAGAUGUAUAAGAACGAAGCGGUCAAAUUUGUCGUCCAAAACGGAUUUCUAUGUGUAACAAAAUUGUACUCGUAAGUAUGAAUUCAACUGUUCAGUGCUAAUAUACCAUAAGUUUUUGACAUAGGUACAGUUUUACACGAUAAUUCUUUUAAUUCAUUCUAAUUUCUGGUAUUGUCAGGUCAGUAUUUGAUAAAAAAAUUUGUGUUAUUUAUGCACGUUAUGAUAUUACAAAUUUUAUAUUUUUAGUUUACAAGAAGAAAACUUUGUAUGUUACGUCUCAUAAGACGAUUUUUUUUCUACGAAAACAGACUCUUCAUAACACUGCGCAACGGUUGUGUGCUCCUUCACAUUGUAAUUAUGACAGCAUAUCAUUUUCAGCAAUACGAUUAAUAUUGUUCGUAACGGCUGUUAAUAGUUGGUAUGCAGAUAUGAAAUAUGAGAAAUAAUAUUCGGGAAAUGCAUUUUACCAAAAUCGAAAUAUCAUCAAUAUUGCAUAUAAUUCCGCUGAUUUCAGAUUUUGAU